rnacentral:rRNA from 1 species
AGCGAACGCUGGCGGCAGGCCUAACACAUGCAAGUCGAACGGACCCUUCGGGGUUAGUGGCGGACGGGUGAGUAACACGUGGGAACGUGCCUUUAGGUUCGGAAUAGCUCCUGGAAACGGGUGGUAAUGCCGAAUGUGCCCUUCGGGGGAAAGAUUUAUCGCCUUUAGAGCGGCCCGCGUCUUAUUAGCUAGUUGGUGAGGUAAUGGCUCACCAAGGCGACGAUCAGUAGCUGGUCUGAGAGGAUGACCAGCCACAUUGCGACUGAGACACGGCCCAAACUCCUACGGGAGGCAGCAGUGGGGAAUCUUGCGCAAUGGGCGAAAGCCUGACGCAGCCAUGCCGCGUGGAUGAUGAAGGUCUUAGGAUUGUAAAAUCUUUCACCGGUGAAGAUAAUGACUGUAGCCGGAGAAGAAGCCCCGGCUAACUUCGUGCCAGCAGCCGCAGUAACAC